rnacentral:rRNA from 1 species
GAUGAACGCUAGCGAUAGGCCUAACACAUGCAAGUCGAGGGGCAGCAUAGAGUAGCAAUACUUUGAUGGCGACCGGCGCACGGGUGAGUAACACGUAUGCAACCUACCUACAUCAGGGGAAUAACCCGGAGAAAUUCGGACUAAUACCGCAUAAUACGGGGAUGCCGCAUGACAAUAUUUGUUAAAGAUUUAUCGGAUGUAGAUGGGCAUGCGUUCCAUUAGCUGGUUGGUAAGGUAACGGCUUACCAAGGCAACGAUGGAUAGGGGAACUGAGAGUGUUGCCCCCCAAACUGGAACUGAGACACGGACCAGACUCCUACGGGAGGAAGCAAUGAGGAAUAAUGGUCAAUGGACGAGGGUCUGAACCAGCCAAUUCGCGUGAAGGAAGACUGCCCUACGGGUUGUAAACUUCUUUUGUACAGGAAUAAAAGACAUUACGUGUAAUGUAUUGCAUAUACUGUACGAAUAAGCAUCGGCUAACUCCGUGCCAGCAGCCGCCGUAA